rnacentral:rRNA from 1 species
GACGAACGCUGGCGGCGUGCCUAAUACAUGCAAGUCGAGCGAAGAGUUUCUGGUGCUGGCACUAGAACAACUUAGCGGCGAACGGGUGAGAAACACGUAAAGAACCUGCCUCAUAGACUGGGACAACUAUUGGAAAGGAUAGCUAAUACCGGAUAACAGUAUUUCUCGCAUGAGAGAUAUUUAAAAGUGGGUUAUGCUAACACUAUGAGAUGGCUGUGCGGUGCAUUAGCUAGUUGGUGGGGUAAAGGCACACCAAGGCGACGAUGCAUAGCCGACCUGAGAGGGUGAUCGGCCACACUGGGACUGAGACACGGCCCAGACUCCUACGGGAGGCAGCAGUAGGGAAUCUUCCGCAAUGGGCGAAAGCCUGACGGAGCAACGCCGCGUGAGUGAUGAAGGAUUUCGGUUCGUAAAGCUCUGUUGUUAGGGAAGAAUGGAUAUGUAGUAACUAGACAUGUAAGUGACGGUACCUAACCAGAAAGCCACGGCUAACUACGUG